UACGUAGGGUGCAAGCGUUGUCCGGAAUUAUUGGGCGUAAAGAGCUCGUAGGCGGUUUGUCGCGUCUGCUGUGAAAACUCAGGGCUUAACCCUGAGCCUGCAGUGGGUACGGGCAGACUAGAGUGUGGUAGGGGAGAUCGGAAUUCCUGGUGUAGCGGUGGAAUGCGCAGAUAUCAGGAGGAACACCGGUGGCGAAGGCGGUUCUCGUGGGCGAUGUCCUGACGCUGAGGAGCGAAAGUGUGGGGAGCGAACAGG
rnacentral:rRNA from 1 species